ACCCAUCUUAUCCCUCAAAAAAAAAAAAUUCCUCAAACAUCUUCAGACUAUUUUUAGUUUUCACUCCAAAAUGGGAUGCAAUUCUUCUGUGUCAGGUUGGCAAAAAUGGCUCUGUGCCAGUAUUUUACUUCGAGUUUUCUCACUCUACAACAGUAUUUUCCUGGAGCUGGUUACUUGGGUGUGUCUGUUCUCAAAUGACAUCCUUAAUAAUGUAGUUCAUGUAUUAUUUUUGUGUACUACGUAUGUGUAUUGCCCAAACAGUAUGAGUUUUUCUCUGCUUUUCCAUUUUCCAUAUGAUAUUUGUUUGAUAAAUGGAAUAUAGGCUAUUUUAGUGAAGGGAAAGCACUUAAGUUAGCUUUUAUUCAGCAGUUCCAAGCUUCUGAACUGCCGUUGGGUUUAACUGUGGUAUUUGGGAUCAGAAGCCUUUAACUGGGUCUGACUCUGCUUCCUGGUAGCAGCACUGCUGCUCAGUUGAGCAGGAUUCCCAUAUGACUCCUGUAACACAGCAAAGAGUUCAGCUCUAGAGUUCAUCUACUUUACAAUUACAGCUGCCUCCCUCGGAGGAUGCAUCAUCUGUGCAACAAACUGCUCUCAAGGUACUGUAAAAAGCCUUUCCUUUUUCUGUGUGGGAGUUUCACAGAGCAGACAGCUAGGAAAUGAUCUGAAUGUGCAUAGGAAAUGAAGACUUACUUAUCUGCAGCUGCAAUUCAAAGGAAGCACCUAUAUGUAGCAUUGCCAGCAAUAACCCGAAAUAGAUUCACUUUCUCAAAGCAUUUGAUCUUAGGAAAAAAAUUGCUUGGCAUUUUAUGAAGUUUUUCUUAUAAAUCUGAAUCUGUUGGGACAAAACUUGUUGCUCACAUAAGUCUCUAGAGACACUGGAUUUAGGGUGUUUUUUGGGGAUGAUUUUGCAUUAUUCAGAAGGGAUAGGGGUUGCUACCCUCAUCUUGUUCUCCAAAGAAGUUCUUUGGGCAGUUUUUUUUUCAGGGUAAAACAAAAGUGCAGCUACAGGACUGACAUGGAGAAGGGGAACAGGAUGGUAUGCAGCCACUUGUACACAUGAGCUCAUGGGCCACAACAGUCCCCGAUGUCCACCUGACCACAGAGCCCUGGGACACUGCCUAUGCCUCAGAAAUCUGAUCAAACAACAUUGCAGGUGGCUGCAGAAAGCUCCUUGAGGAGGGCAAAGGGAAACAGGGGAAGUUUUCCAACACAAGGGAAACAGCCUGGGAGCUGCUCUGAGUUUGCAGCCCACCAGCCACAAAGGAGAUCUGAGUCAGAAGGGAAUCAGUGAGGGCUGUGCUCAGCCCAUGCCAUAAUGAAGAAUGAGAUGGGAAAAAUAGGGAAUAUUCAAAAAGGUAGGUUCAAAGAACCACACAUUUCCCUCCUAGAAGGUCAUGCCACAAAAAGUACAGUAAAUAUUCCAUACAAAAUCAGCAAUGGAAAAAAAUGAAGAAAAUGCAAAGGGUGGAGCACAUGUGUUUCAAAACCUCAUAAUCUGUGAUAGAAUCACACUGAUGCAAGAUUGCAAGAUUGCAAGGAUGCGAGGAUGCUGGACUGGAUGCACACUAUCCUGAACUGUGCAUGUUAGUAUGUGUGCAUGUGUGUAUGUGUGCACAUUGUGUGCUGGGGGAAUACGUAGGGAAUUAAAUCUUUCUCUGAACACAUAGCUUAGUUAUAUGACAGAAAUUAUUUUUCAGAUGCCUCCUACCUGUAAGUUUCAUGUACAACUGUGGGUCAGUGGAUCCCAGAAGUUCACCUGGGCUGCCUGUAUAGCUCACCAGUGGGCAGAAAUGGCACAUGCAUAACCUGAUCCAUGCAAGGGACACUCCGAUGGGUGCAAUGCUGCACAUAUGUUGUUUUGCUUCCCUAGGUCUGAAUGCCAUUUAGGACACUUCUAAAACCACUGCAUCUGUUAUUCAGUCUGCACCAUGUUCCCUUAGUAGAGCAUGACUUUUCCCACAUAAGACAGACAAGGGUGUUGAUUUCCUAAUCUUUUCCCCACAGGGAUGAAAGAGCAAGAACACUUAUUUCUGAAGCAAUGUUAGCCUGACUCUUACCAGAGAAAAGAGACAAGAGAUUGAAACGUUGAAAGAAGAGUAAGGUUCUGACCUGUGCUUAUGUCUUCUUGGAAUGUAUUUUAUCAGUCUGUUGUACAAAGGAAGAACAUUUCUGUCCCUGUGCUUUCAAGGUCAGUGGGUGAGCCCUGGCCAGUCUUUUCACUGGAGGGUACCACCAAGGUGAGGUUGCACUCCUGGGCAGACCUGAGUAAUGCAUCCAAUAGGGAGGAGGGUUUAGUAUGGACCUUCUGCUCAGUCUUUCCACUUUGGUACUUGUGGAGACCUUUAAGCUAUGCGUAAUUGAUGUAACAAGUUCCUUGAUUGAAGUCUAUACUCUGGAUGUAAAAUGCAGGUACCUCAAUCAUUCUUCUGACUUCAUGUUUGGCAGGCAGAUAGCAAAAAAAUGAUGUAUUGAUCAAUUUUUAGAAAACAUCAGCAAUAGGGAUGGGAGAAAUGUUUUGGACAUAAUUAAACUCUUAAAUCAAACCUAGCAGCCCAACAAACUUCUCAAGAAGCUUCUGAAGCUCAACUUCUCUCAUACAUACACCUCUCCCUGCCUUCGCCCAGGACUAUAAAUGCUGAAGCAAUGAGAAAUCCUGCUCUCAGAGGGGUCUGUAUCAAUAAAACCACAGCAGACUUGAAAGCUUUGGGGGGAGGCUUGUUCUCACCAUUGUUUCACCUCUCUGAGGGUUUGUUUUUGUUUUGUUCUCUUCCUCAACAGCUGUACUUAUGAAGAGAGAAAGGAAUAUAUUGUAGAUGUUGUUGUUUGUAUACUGCAGGAAAAAUUGUAGAGGGCUGUCUUCCCAUCCCAGACAGAAGCAGGGAUCUAGGAUUGCAUGCUUUUUCCAUCACCGGCUGUCUGCCUGCAUACGUGACCUAUUGAUGUCCCUGGUGAUCUGUGCAGAGACUUGUACAGAAAGGAGUGCUGCCUCUUGACGUUAAGAUUCAUUUUGACCUCCAGAAAAAGGAUUUUUGGGUGGCCAACAUCUGACAAAACAAUCUGCUGGAAGCCUCAUUGAAGGAACCUUGCAGACUUUCCUGCUGCUUGCCCAGAUUUCCCCACAGAGGGAGCAGAUCUGGCACGGGUAAUGGGAGCAGUCUGAUUUCAAAACGCACCGUGCCAUAAAUUCCAUCAAAGGAAGAAGCACCGCGGAUCAGAUGGCAGGCUCCAACCCACCCGCCCCACUCCAUUUGCCUGCCUAAAUCUGUUGGGAUGCCAGUUCUUUUUCUUUUACUUUCUUUUACUCCUAUUAAUUCAGUAUAUCAAGCCUGCUUGUGCAUAAAGGGAAAUCUGCAGCACAUUAGAUUAACACUGUCUCUUCCGAAGUUGUUUGCAGUUCUGAAAGCCAUCCUUCACAGUCGGUGUAUAAAUAAUAUCGAGCCACGAGAGGGAGCGAGAGUACUAAAUAAGGCAGUUUGGGAUUUAAGAGGGGGUUAUACUUCUGGAUAAGCACAGUCAGCUUUACAGUGAUAAAGACACAUAAAACAUGAAGAGCUGGAAGAAUGAGAGGUAGCGUGGGGUGGUGGCUCAGAAGGUAAGUGGUUGUAUUAAAAAGCGGGAAACCAAACAAUUGUUUAAAGCCAUUUUGAUACAUGUGUUAGGUGUCGGGGUUUUUUUUCGAUUCUUGAUUUCUUUUUAUAGAGAACACUGCCUGAGCUGCCGAAUGGCAUAGAGAUGUAGCUGUUACAAGUACCUUUAUACCAUCUGUCUAAGGGAAAGGGAAAAGUGGAGUAUUAAAUAAAGUGAUUAAUCUGACCUUCAGCUGCACGGAAUUUAAACAUAAUAUCUUUACAACAGCACUGCUGAAGCAAGGUUUGCCUUUUCUGUCACUGCUCGCUUGUGUGGCUGUGAGCAAAUCACCCAAACCCAGAUCCUCAGGGCUAAUUAGGUAACUAAUACUCAGAAAAAUUGCAGAACUGAAGUACCUAAAUAAUACUGUAGUCCUAUUUCCCCUAUGCCUCAUUUGCUCUAUAUGUCUGAAGUGAAUGUGUUAUAACUUCUUCCCCGCACAGAGAAACUAAAUAUGCUCAAUACACUAAAGAGUGUAAUAAGGUUAUAUGUUGCAGUUACCUGGGGCUCAGAGGCUUGGAUUGUUACAACUAGCAUAAAAUAACUGGAUUAUUUUUUUUUUUUUAAUGAUGCUAUUUUUUGUUUCAGUGCAUCCUGGGCUGUUUUUCCAUGCAGCCAUGCAGAAGGCAUGCUGCUGAGGCUACAAGCCAGGUAGUCUGAUUAAAAAGUCAAGAUCCCCAGAGCUCUGCAGCAAGGCACGCACGACAUUGAUCUGGCUUCCUAUUACAUACCUGUCUU